rnacentral:lncRNA from 1 species
CAACACAGCUAUAGCAGGGCCUCUUGAGCCACUGAAGGCAGCACCAGACACUGGCUUCUCCUCUCUUCCUGUACAUUAUCUUCAUUCUUCUAUCUAUAGACUACCUUUAUCUUCUAAGUGAAAACAUGACUGUCAGCAGCUUUCAAGCUUUAUCAUUUACAGAGCUUGCCUGAAGACAGACUGAUUCCAUUCUCUAGGUCUCCAAGCCCAGAAAGCUCAGAGAAAGACUUCGAUUGGUCUGAGUUAGGCCAGCUGUCCACCCCUGAACUAUCCAGAGCAGCCCUGCAGCUGGGCCGUUCCCAGAGAGAGGGAUGGAUAAAGGCACUCACUCUACAUAAGGAACAGCUCUAGUUUCCUUCCUUAAUUAAGAAGUAGUUUCACUUAAAAAAAAAAAUCUCUAAACACUGACUAAAAUGCUAUAAUGAAGUGAGCAACCAGGGGUAAAGAAGUACUAAUAAUUUCAAAGGCAGACACAAGUAUGAUUUGGAGAAGAAACAGCAGUCAUAGAUAAAUCAAAUUAUCAAUAAACGUAACACAUUGAUAGAGAGCUUUAAUGAAGAGCCAAUAAGCACAUGAACAGGAUGCUUCGUGUAUGAAACCCUCAUUGAAUACUGUGAAAGUUGUCAGGAUAAAAAUAGAGUCACUUGUGACAAAAUGGAGCUGGGAAAGGCCAUGAAGGAAGGGUUCUUAAUGCUCAAUCGCCUGAAAACAAGAACUGUUACAAAAGACUAUACCAAAACCACAACCUUGUACAAAGGCCACUGCAACCUUAUGCAAAAAAAAACUUCUGCAAGGACAUCUGCCCAGCAGUUGCCUGCCUAACCUUGGACUGAUGCCACCCUUAUUAUUGAUCCCUGUAAGCAAGGAUAAUUGUUUCAAAACAACUUAUGUAACCCUCCCCAUUUUAGCUUUAAAAAUUGCUGUCUUCCCUUGCCUCUUUGAAUGUGCCCAUAGUUUACUCGGCAUGUGUGUUCCACACUACAAUGCUUACUCUUGAAUACACUUAUUAUCUUUGGAGAAUCUCUCUCUGUUAUUUAGCUUGACAGUAUAUUCACUGAAAAUUUAAACUUGUUACUGAAUAAAGUCAUUAAAAUGAAAAAAAAAAAAAAAAAAAAAAAAAAAAAAA